rnacentral:rRNA from 1 species
UACGGAGGGUGCAAGCGUUAUCCGGAUUCACUGGGUUUAAAGGGUGCGUAGGUGGGUCUGUAAGUCAGUGGAGAAAUCUCCGAGCUUAACUCGGAAACUGCCAUUGAUACUAUAGGUCUUGAAUUAUCUGGAGGUGAGCGGAAUAUGUCAUGUAGCGGUGAAAUGCUUAGAUAUGACAUAGAACACCAAUUGCGAAGGCAGCUCACUACGGAUAUAUUGACACUGAGGCACGAAAGCGUGGGGAUCAAACAGG